GUACUCAAAGUCGUAGAAGUUGGAUGGUGGGUGUGGCAUGUGUCCUUCCUCUAUGUGAAGAUACCAAAGCAAUAUUCAUGCCAGUUGUGCACUUCAGCAGCAAGGUUACACCUCCGACUUAAUGUCGGGCCGCCGUACCAGCUGAGGACAUUGUAUUUUAAUAUGAUGCUCCUCGAAGAACCUUUCGCGGGUGCAGGCAGGUAGUUGUGGAGAACAAAAAGGAGGACCACUUGGGGGAGCGUCCCAGGAGAAGCCAUUCUUUUGGUACAAAAGAACCUUAAGGUGUGGGGUUAAGUCCUCUAACAAGCGCAACCCUUGCCUUUAGUUACAAGGUUUUAAGGGAUUUUCCCGGGCCAAGCGGGCGGAAGGGGGGGAGGACGUCAAUCAGCCCCGCCCUUGAGGUCCAGGCUUUCACCCCCCCUACAAUGCCGGGUCCAAUAGGGUCCGAACUUCGGGGGCGAACCAAUUCCUCAAAGCCGGUUUCAGUUCGAAUUGCAGUUUGCAACUCGACUGCAUGAAGCUGGAGUUGAUAGUAAUCGCAGGUCAGCAAUUCUGCGGUGAAUACGUUCCCGGGCCUUGUACACACCGCCCGUCACGUCAUGGAAGCUGGCAACGCGCGAAGCCGGUGAGCUAACCCCCAAGGGAGGCACCUGUGGAGGGUGGGGCUGGUGACUGGGACGAAGUCCUAACAAGGUAACCAAGGGCGAA
rnacentral:rRNA from 1 species